UCGAAUUUCACCAGUGCGCUU
rnacentral:siRNA from 1 species